GAUGAACGCUGGCGGCGGGCCUAACACAUGCAAGUCGAGCGAACGGACGAUAAGCUCUCGCCCCUGAUGUUGGCGGCGGACGGGCGGGUAACACGUGGAUAACCUACCUCUAUGACUGGGAUAAUUACGGGGAACCGGAGCUAAUACUGGAUGAUAUUUUGUACCGCAUGGUGCAAGAGUGAAAGACGGUUUGCCUGUCAGUUAUAGAUGGUUCCGCGUUGCAUUAGCUAGUUGGUAAGGUAACGGCUAACCAAGGCAACGAUGCAUAGCCGACCUGAGAGGGUGAUCGGCCACACUGGAACUGAGACACGGUCCAGACUCCUACGGGAGGCAGCAGUAGGGAAUCUUCCGCAAUGGGCGCAAGCCUGACCCAGCAACACCGCGUGAGUGAUGAAGGUCUUCGGAUCGUAAAGCUCUGUUAUUAGGGAAGAACAUCUGUGUAUUAAUACGCGGACAUCUUGACGGUACCCAAACAGAAAGCCCCGGCUAACUACGUG
rnacentral:rRNA from 1 species